rnacentral:rRNA from 1 species
UAUGGUAAUGUGUGCCCGCCGCCGCUGUCAUACGGCGGAUGCGAGCGUUAUCCGGAUUUCUUGGGUUUCAAGGGAGCGCAGACGGGAGAUUCAGUCAGUUGUGAAAGUUUGCGGCUCAACCGUAAAAUUGCAGUUGAUACUGGUUUCCUUGAGUGCAGUUGAGGCAGGCGGAAUUCGUGGUGUAGCGGUGAAAUGCUUAGAUAUCACGAAGAACCCCGAUUGCGAAGGCAGCUUGCUAAACUGUAACUGACGUUCAUGCUCGAAAGUGUGGGUAUCAAACAGG